rnacentral:rRNA from 1 species
UACGGAGGGUGCAAGCGUUAUCCGGAUUCACUGGGUUUAAAGGGUGCGUAGGCGGGCAGGUAAGUCAGUGGUGAAAUCUUUGGGCUUAACCCGAAAACUGCCAUUGAUACUAUCUGUCUUGAAUAUUGUGGAGGUUUGCGGAAUAUGUCAUGUAGCGGUGAAAUGCUUAGAUAUGACAUAGAACACCUAUUGCGAAGGCAGCAAACUACGCAUAAAUUGACGCUGAGGCACGAAAGCGUGGGGAGCAAACAGG